GACGUAGGGGCCAGCGUUGUUCGGAAUUACUGGGUGUAAAGGGUUCGUAGGCGGUGCGGCAAGUCGGGAGUGAAAUCUCUGGGCUUAACCCAGAGGCUGCUUCCGAAACUGCUGUGCUUGAGUGUGGGAGAGGCGCGUGGAAUUGCAGGUGUAGCGGUGAAAUGCGUAGAUAUCAGGAGGAACACCGGUGGCGAAGGCGGUUCUCUGGGCCUGUACUGACGCUGAGGAGCGAAAGCGUGGGGAGCGAACAGG
rnacentral:rRNA from 1 species